CUAUCUGAUCAGGACAUAUAAAAUGGAUAUGUGUAUCUAUUCCUCCUGGAGUUAUUAUUAGCCCUUCUCCUGCAAUUGCCUCUGUAGAUGCACCAACUGUCAUUCCUUCAGUUACUCCAUCCAUUAUAUCUGGGUUUCCUGCUUUUCCUAUUGCUCUUAUUUUUCCAUCCUUUAUUCCUAUAUCUGCUUUCAAAAUGCCUUUAUAGUCAAGUAUAACUGCAUUAGUUAUUACUAAAUCCAAGUCUCCAUCUUCGCUAGUAGUAUUUACAGACUGUCCCAUUCCAUCACGUAUGG
rnacentral:sRNA from 1 species